rnacentral:rRNA from 1 species
AUUGAACGCUGGCGGCAUUCCUUACACAUGCAAGUCGAACGGUAACAGGUCUUCGGAUGCUGACGAGUGGCGAACGGGUGAGUAAUACAUCGGAACGUGCCUAGUAGUAGGGGAUAACUACUCGAAAGAGUAGCUAAUACCGCAUGAGAUCUACGAAUGAAAGAAGGGGAUCGCAAGACCUUGUGCUACUAAAGAGGCCGAUGGCAGAUUAGGUAGUUGGUGGGAUAAAAGCUUACCAAGCCGACGAUCUGUAGCUGGUCUGAGAGGACGAUCAGCCACACUGGGACUGAGACACGGCCCAGACUCCUACGGGAGGCAGCAGUGGGGAAUUUUGGACAAUGGGCGAAAGCCUGAUCCAGCAAUGCCGCGUGCAGGAUGAAGGCCUUCGGGUUGUAAACUGCUUUUGUACGGAACGAAAAGCCCCGGGUUAAUACCCUGGGGUCAUGACGGUACCGUAAGAAUAAGCACCGGCUAACUACGUGCCAGCCGCCGCGGUAA